AGUGAACGCUGGCGGUGGGCCUAACACAUGCAAGUCGAACGGCAGCACAGUAAGAGCUUGCUCUGACGGGUGGCGAGUGGCGGACGGGUGAGGAAUACAUCGGAAUCUACUUUUUCGGGUGGGAUAACGUAGGGAAACUUACGCUAAUACCGCAUACGACCUACGGGGGAAAGCAGUGGAUCGUCGGACCUUGCGCGACUGGACGAGCCGCUUUCGGACUGGCUAGUGGGCGGGGUAAAGGCCCAGCAAGUCGACGAUCCGUAGCUGGUCUGAGAGGAUGGUCAGCCACACUGGAACUGAGACACGGUCCAGACUCCUGCGGGAGGCCGCAGUGUGGAAUAUUAGGCAAUGGGCGGGAGCCUGAUCCAGCCGUACCGCGUGUGUGAAGAAGGCCUUCGGGUUGUAAAGCCCUUUUGUUGGGAGAGAAACGCAGUAGGUUAAUACCCAGCUGUUCUGACGGUACCCGAAGAAUAAGCACCGGCUAACUACGUG
rnacentral:rRNA from 1 species